CGCAACGGUGUGUGAUCGUUUCGUCUCCUCCUCCACCGCCCCCACGUAUCAGCUCGAGCGUCAGGCAAACUUUGCAGCCACGCACUCGCCAGCCGCUGGCCGACGAUCAGCGUGAAUGCUGUUGCCGGCAGGCGGCAGGGCAGCUUGCCGCACGCUUCACACACACGAACCAAGCAAGGAGAAACACUGUAGAUUAAAGAUUUGAUCUCUGGUGGGCUGGAAUACCACUGUCUUAUAAGCAUCUAAUAUUCAGAGGAAUUUCCACGUGGUAUAAUUUGGACUUUCCCAAGAACCUCCUCCUAGUAUUAUCCUCAAAGAAAAGAAAAGAAAAGAAAAGGAGAAGGAAGCCGUGUGGAUCAAGUCCAAGUUCACCACACAUAUAUAUGCUAUGAUAGGGACGACACUAUGAACAGGGGGAUUAAGUAGAUGCGGAUGGAAUUAUUACUGCAUAGUCAACUGAAUUCAAAGACCCAUGUGCAAAACGUGAAAGAGGAACGCGCACUAGACAACGUGACAAAAGAAACGAAGUUUCCCGGCCUGGGCGUCGGCCGGGCCAGCGAAAACACUCACGCACGCACGCACGCGGUAAGCAGCGAGCUAUAUACUCCCAUUCCACUUGCUUAAUUUGUAUGGUUAGCCAUGCUCGAACUACAAGUGGGGAAAUGCUAACUGAUCUUUAUUUCCAGCUGGAGCAUGGUAAUAAAAUAGGGGUCUCGACUCGACGUACGCCAAUGUUGAAUAGUACUACUACGUAGUACUUCAUCCAUUUCAAAAUAGAUGACCCAACUUUAUACAAAAGUUUAGUACAAAGUUGAGUCAUCUAUUUUGAAACGGAGGAAGUACUAUUAGGCACGCAUGGAACGUUGCACACUCAUCACAGUUCACACGUGAAACUUGACUAGUACAGUAGCAUUACUUAGGGCAUGUACAAUGGUUCUAUCUUAGCAAUGCCACGUAGGAUAAAUGAUGAUGUGGAGGAGAGAGAAUUCAUAAG